rnacentral:lncRNA from 1 species
GCCAUGUGUCACUUUGCAGAUGGAUCAAGUGCAGGAGGUGCCUGUUGGAGACGCAGAGCUCUGCAGCAGCAGGUGAGCUGAUGCUGCAACCUGCUAAACGCCGCUCCUGCGGAGCGCCAGGGCCCAGAGUGCACAUGGCUCUCAGGCUCCGUGAAAAGCUUGCAGUGAGCUCAGCCACUGAAAAGUCACUACGAAGAUGGAAAGCAAAAUGAAAACCGAGUCCUCGGUACCCUAUGUUUAUCUGUCUCUAAGAGAACAUCCUUGGGUUUAUUUAUGAUUUGAGUACUUCAUAAGAAAAGUAGUAUAAAAUAGAAA